UACGGAGGGGGCUAGCGUUGUUCGGAAUUACUGGGCGUAAAGCGCGCGUAGGCGGACCUGCAAGUCGGGGGUGAAAGCCCGAGGCUCAACCUCGGAACUGCCUUCGAUACUGCGGGUCUCGAGUCCGGGAGAGGUGAGUGGAAUUCCUAGUGUAGAGGUGAAAUUCGUAGAUAUCAGGAGGAACACCAAUGGCGAAGGCAGCUCGCUGGGACGGUACUGACGCUGAGGCGCGAAGGCGUGGGGAGCGAACGGG
rnacentral:rRNA from 1 species